GCCUCUUGAGUUCCUCCUCACUUAUUCAACAUAAAAACUACAAAAAUUCUUUACGAACAGUUCACCAUCAUUAAUUCUUUUGGUGAGACUAAAUAUAGCAUCGAAGGUUAUAUACAUGAGAUCUGUCUGCUAUGAUUCACUGUUGAUCUCCACCACCACACAAAACACAUCCCUAGCUAUGAACGACUCUGAACUGUUCAUCUCCACCUCCACACAAAACACAUCCGCCGUCAUAAAGCUCGCAGCGGAGAUCAAGUGAAAAUAGGCUUGAUUCUCACUACACUCUGAAGAAACGAACAUAUACGUAAUUGACCAACUUAGCCAAUGUACACAAAGGUUUAUAUCUUGGUUCACAAUUUUCUAAGCGUCAUUUCAAAUUCUCAUACUCAUACAUGGGUCUACCACAAAUAGACAAGCAGCAACGCUUCUGUGCCAUUUUUGCUACUCUUCAUUUACAUGUACGGCCUGUCGAAGUUUGAAAACAGAGGUAGUAGCGGCUAAUACUGAAGGAAGAGCUAUAGACUGGAAUUGGAGUUUCACCAAGCUUAAGUCAAAACUAGUAGACAUGUGUCAAAGUUUUCUCCAAAGGAUGCUGUGAUAAAUUAAUUUUCUGAUUUUGAGUGGUAAGUUUAAGGAUCAGAGAUUAGGGUUGAGAGGAGCACCUAAACUAACAACCAAGAAGCUAUCACAUGUUUGUUCUUUUCGUCAAUCUGAUUGUUAAUUGGAUAAAUGAUGACAUGGUUUGUGUCCCUACAGUUUCUCUUCAGAUGGAAGAAUCAAAGAAGAACCCAAUAGUAUCUAUUACAUAUACAUCUCCAGCAAACAAUUUUUCUAUGGGUCACCAGUGGGUUAAAGCAACGAAAGGGCUAAGUAAGUUUGGUAUACACUGCGGGUUACAUCGUCCAUGCUCAUGCGCAGACUAUCCGUUAAGUUAGUUGUUGCUUGCAACCCAUGUUUUUCUUUUAAAAAAAAAGUUAAGUGUAGGAUUGUGUCGGAGAGCGUUAAUAACGUAUCUCUUAUUCCAGAGCAUAUGGGAGUCGAAAGGAUGACAAACCAAAUUGUGAUGUCUUUACUUUUGAGAAAUCCAAAAUGAAACUGUUGAGGCAUGUGUCAUUUGUGGAUUCUCUGGUAUGAUUAGUUUUAUGGUUCUCUUCAUUUCUUCUUCAUUUGCUAUUUUUCAAAGCUUGAGAUAUCAACGAUCUGUAAGUUUUUUUCUGUAUUGUACUGAUGUUGUUGUUCUCCACCUGCAUGUGUUUGAGUCGAAUUCAAUUGGGUGUGGGAUUUGAAGGAGGAGAGGGUUGAUGGAAAAGUUAUACAUUUUCCCAUCCAUUGGCUUCUCUUUUCUCUGUUUCAGUUCUUACUAAUGAACCUUAUGUUAUGUUCUUUAGAGACGCUAUUUUCUUAUGGCGACAAUGCUCAACCAAUCAGCUAUAAUGGAUGGUGGACUUCCUCUAAUCACUGCAAAUGAGACUUGUCCACAAUCACAAACUUCUUAACAUCUUGCUCCUGUUGAGAUUAUUCAACCGAAAUCCUCUGUAACAGAUUGAUCUUAUUCAAGAGAUUGAUAUUAAUCUGCACGAGGCAGUUCAGAAAAUUUAUAAUGGUUUGUUUUCUUUGACCUUACUCCUAACUAUAAACAAGUACUCGAUGGAGACAUGAAACAGAGAGUAGUUAUAUGCAGACAAAUAACUCUAUAGAGGUUUUUUAUUUUAUUGAAUCUACUUAAACUAUGUUUAGGUUGCACCAGAAUCAAGCUUCUAUGACUUCCGAAGAACUCUACCUGCACCACAAGAUGAAGAGAGCGGCUAUGAGCUACUAGCCUACUACCAUGAUACAAUCUGGAAAGGACUUCCGUAAUUCUUGAGGUGUGUUGCCACGGUUGACGGUUCUAGCGAACACUGGAAUUAAUGAGUGUGUUCCUUACAAUGCACGUCUCAUUAAAAUCUUCUUGGAUGGGUGGAGUGGUCCCAUCAAGUCCUUAGUAACAAUGCAGGCCUCUUCUCUCUCAAAUUCCAUAAAGAUGUAGACCAAGGCUCUAGCCUUUGUUGGGAAGACAACAGUUUGAGUCUGAUGUGUAUGAUAAACAAUAUAUAAGACUAGAAGUACAUAUUUGAGUUCCAAAGCUAACAGUCUACUGAGAACAUUUGAGGGUUGUUAGCAUUACAUGUGACUACUUUUUGGAAAAAAAGAUUAGAACUAAAUAUCAUGUAGAUGACGCAUGUACUGGUGAGUGAAACAAUAUUGA